rnacentral:tRNA from 1 species
GGGCCCAUAGCUCAGCGGUAGAGCAGUCGGCUCAUAACCGAUCGGUCCCUGGUUCGAAUCCGGGUGGGCCCA